GAUCACUAGUGCUAGCCAGGUAGAUCGCUGCUUAGAUCACUAGUGCUAGCCAGGUAGAUCGCUGCUUAGAUCACUAGUGCUAGCCAGGUAGAUCGCUGCUUAGAUCACUAGUGCUAGCCAGGUAGAUCGCUGCUUAGAUCACUAGUGCUAGCCAGGUAGAUCGCUGCUUAGAUCACUAGUGCUAGCCAGGUAGAUCGCUGCUUAGAUCACUAGUGCUAGCCAGGUAGAUCGCUGCUUAGAUCACUAGUGCUAGCCAGGUAGAUCGCUGCUUAGAUCACUAGUGCUAGCCAGGUAGAUCGCUGCUUAGAUCACUAGUGCUAGCCAGGUAGAUCGCUGCUUAGAUCACUAGUGCUAGCCAGGUAGAUCGCUGC